GAUGAACGCUGGCGGCGUGCCUAAUACAUGCAAGUCGAGCGAAGCGGGGACGGGCGAGUAACACGUUGAUAACCUCCUAUAUGACUGGGAUAACUUCGGGAAACCGGAGCUAAACCGGAAACUUAUAGAUGGAUCCUCGCUGCAUUAGCUAUUUGGUAAGGUAACGGCUUACCAGGGAAACGAUGCAUAGCCGAUCGGGGAGGGUGUGCGGCAAAACUGGAACGGGGCAACGGUCCGAACUCCACGGGGAGGAAGAAGUAGGGAAUCUUCCGCAAUGGGCGAAAGCCUGACGGGGCACGCCCGCGUAGGGAAGGAAGGUUUUCGGAUCGUAAGACUCUUUUAUUAGGAAAGCGGUACCUAAUCAGAAAGCCACGGCUAACUACGUGCCAGCAGCCGCGGUAAUAC
rnacentral:rRNA from 1 species